AUUGAACGCUGGCGGCAGGCCUAACACAUGCAAGUCGAACGAGUGGCGGACGGGUGAGUAAUGCCUGGGAAACCGCCCGAUGGAGGGGGAUAACUACUGGAAACGGUAGCUAAUACCGCAUACCAUCGGAUGUGACCAGAUGGGCUUAGCUUGUAGGUGAGGUAACGGCUCCCCUAGGCGACGAUCCCUAGCUGGUCUGAGAGGAUGACCAGCCACACUGGAACUGAGACACGGUCCAGACUCCUACGGGAGGCAGCAGUGGGGAAUAUUGCACAAUGGGCGCAAGCCUGAUCCAGCCAUACCGCGUGGGUGAAGAAGGUCUUCGGGUUGUAAAGCCCUUUUGUUGGGAAAGCGGUACCCAAAGAGUAAGCACCGGCUAACUUCGUGCCAGCAGCCGCGGUAAUUC
rnacentral:rRNA from 1 species